ACUUGUUUUUAUAAGCAUAAGCAUGACAUACAGUUUAACAUAUGUCCUUUUGGUUACCAAAAAACAAAAUAUAACAAACUCAAUUAAAUAACCUACUAACUAUAAGACCACCACAUACAUGGGGUAAGAAAUAAUUAUUUUCUUACGACACAGGACUCUUGCAAUUUCAAGAGUUGAUCCACCUCUCUUAUCCUUUUGACUCAAGGGUUGUCUCAAUUGAUUAAAGGCUUUGAGUUUCUUACCAUCAGUUUAGUUUGCUAUUAAAAUUGAAGAAUUUAAGAAAGUGUAAAACGCCUAGUAUACACUUUUUUUGUUCUUUAAAGAGGUCAACACUAUUAGAUGUGCUUUAUUCAAAAGACAAACAGAGUGUUUGGUAAUAGAUUCGGGUGAAUCUUAAGGUAUGGUAAUUAACUGCUGAAAUCUUAACUAUCAACAAUCUGAAUAAGGAGAGUUUUUAGAGAUAUCUCCUUCUGCCAUUUCUUGAGUCCAACGCAAUUGUCAUUCGGCUAUGACAAGAGGCAUGAGAGGAUAUGACAAGUUCAACUGACUUAGCAAUGACUCCAAGCGAAGUUAAAGAGGUGUGCGGUUGAAAAUGACAGUGAUUUAAGAUAGAUCCUAAAAGACAGAGUCAAGAGGCCUCUAGAGAUUCUACUUCGGCAUCACAGUAUUUGGGAUGGCUAUAAGCGAGCAUAUGUGAGAUGCAAAUGUGAGAGCCAACUUCACCUUCGUUGUGAGAGCUAGGAUGUUGAAGACGUUCUUGAGCCAUUAGGAGGGAAAAUGAGUUUGGUUUAAGUGGAGUCCCAAACCGAGGUAUUGAUGUGAGAAGUCGUCCUGAAGGUUUCGGAAAAGCCACUUUUAGCUGUUCCAGAGAGAAAAUAGAGAGAAAAGAGAGAAGAGAGUGUGUACUUGGGAGAUCUUGGAGAUUCUAGGAUUGUUUGGUGAGAUAUGCUCCUGUGGAGUGGAAAUAUGGUGAUAGGAACGAAGGAUAAACCUUCCAAGGUAUUGGAUUCGUUGUUGUGGGCCAGAAACUUCCUGCAAAGAGG